rnacentral:hammerhead_ribozyme from 1 species
AUCCAACUGACGAGUCCCAAAUGAGAAGAAAUGCGCGUCCUAGAU